rnacentral:rRNA from 1 species
GCCUAAUACAUGCAAGUCGAACGAGUUCUGAUUAUUGAAAGGUGCUUGCAUCUUGAUUUAAUUUUGAACGAGUGGCGGACGGGUGAGUAACACGUGGGUAACCUGCCCUUAAGUGGGGGAUAACAUUUGGAAACAGAUGCUAAUACCGCAUAAAUCCAAGAACCGCAUGGUUCUUGGCUGAAAGAUGGCGUAAGCUAUCGCUUUUGGAUGGACCCGCGGCGUAUUAGCUAGUUGGUGAGGUAACGGCUCACCAAGGCAAUGAUACGUAGCCGAACUGAGAGGUUGAUCGGCCACAUUGGGACUGAGACACGGCCCAAACUCCUACGGGAGGCAGCAGUAGGGAAUCUUCCACAAUGGACGCAAGUCUGAUGAAGCAACGCCGCGUGAGUGAAGAAGGCUUUCGGGUCGUAAAACUCUGUUGUUGGAGAAGAAUGGUCGGCAGAGUAACCGUUGUCGGCGUGACGGUAUCCAACCAGAAAGCCACGGCUAACUACGUGCCAGCAGCCGCGGUAAUACGUAGGUGGCAAGCGUUAUCCGGAUUUAUUGGGCGUAAAGCGAGCGCAGGCGGUUUUUUAAGUCUGAUGUGAAAGCCCUCGGCUUAACCGAGGAAGUGCAUCGGAAACUGGGAAACUUGAGUGCAGAAGAGGACAGUGGAACUCCAUGUGUAGCGGUGAAAUGCGUAGAUAUAUGGAAGAACACCAGUGGCGAAGGCGGCUGUCUGGUCUGUAACUGACGCUGAGGCUCGAAAGCAUGGGUAGCGAACAGGAUUAGAUACCCUGGUAGUCCAUGCCGUAAACGAUGAAUGCUAGGUGUUGGAGGGUUUCCGCCCUUCAGUGCCGCAGCUAACGCAUUAAGCAUUCCGCCUGGGGAGUACGACCGCAAGGUUGAAACUCAAAGGAAUUGACGGGGGCCCGCACAAGCGGUGGAGCAUGUGGUUUAAUUCGAAGCAACGCGAAGAACCUUACCAGGUCUUGACAUCUUUUGAUCACCUGAGAGAUCAGGUUUCCCCUUCGGGGGCAAAAUGACAGGUGGUGCAUGGUUGUCGUCAGCUCGUGUCGUGAGAUGUUGGGUUAAGUCCCGCAACGAGCGCAACCCUUAUGACUAGUUGCCAGCAUUUAGUUGGGCACUCUAGUAAGACUGCCGGUGACAAACCGGAGGAAGGUGGGGAUGACGUCAAAUCAUCAUGCCCCUUAUGACCUGGGCUACACACGUGCUACAAUGGAUGGUACAACGAGUUGCGAGACCGCGAGGUCAAGCUAAUCUCUUAAAGCCAUUCUCAGUUCGGACUGUAGGCUGCAACUCGCCUACACGAAGUCGGAAUCGCUAGUAAUCGCGGAUCAGCACGCCGCGGUGAAUACGUUCCCGGGCCUUGUACACACCGCCCGUCACACCAUGAGAGUUUGUAACACCCGAAGCCGGUGGCGUAACCCUUUUAGGGAGCGAGCCGUCUAAGGUGGGACAAAUGAUUAGGGUGAAGUC